rnacentral:rRNA from 1 species
ACACGUAGGAUUCGAGCGUUGUCCGGAUUUACUGGGCGUAAAGGGCGCGUAGGCGGCAUGUUAAGUCCUGUGUGAAAUCUCCCGGCUCAACUGGGAGGGGUCAUGGGAAACUAACAAGCUUGAGGGCAGUAGAGGAAAGCGGAAUUCCCGGAGUAGUGGUGAAAUGCGUAGAUACCGGGAGGAACACCAGAGGCGAAAGCGGCUUUCUGGGCUGUCCCUGACGCUGAGGCGCGAAAGCAUGGGGAGCAAACCGGAUUAGAAACCCCAGUAGUCC